GUGUGUGUUUCUUUUUAAAACAAAAGAAAAGAAAGAAAACCCAUCAGGAGAGGUUCCAAAGAGAGAGAGAGAGAGAGAGAGAGAGAGAGAUCAGCCGGUGGAAGAAGGAGAAGAGAAAGGGGAAGUGAGAGCUAGGUUGAAUUGGAAACUUUGUAAGGUAACAAGCCGGUCAAAUAGGAGGUGCCGAAAUCGUAAGUUUGGUGUAUAUCUCGGUCGAUGCAAAGGUAGCAGGUUGCGUAGAGUGGGUCCACUACCGGUCAACGUGUUGACAAGUGUUUGGGCUAGCGUCAGAUGAUGUGGAUAAGCGAGUUGGUUGUAGGUAGUGAACCAAAAAGUUGAUUUAUGUAAGUUAUAAAUAAGUCGUUGGUGGAUGUAUUAAAGUGUAAAAUUUUUAAAGUAUUGUAAAACUAUAUUGUUGUUUAGUUGUGCGAGAUCGUGGUUGGUUGGUCGAUACGUCGACUCAUUUUUAUGUUAAGGUGAUAAGUCUUCCGCUGGGUGUUAUUCUGACAGGUUGUGAGGUGUGGUUCGGUUUUGGUGUGGAAUGUCACGUGGUCGCGUCGACUCGGGCCCACAUUGGGUGCCGUUUGCGGGGCGGGGCGUGACAGCUUGGUAUCAGAGCUAGUACGAUCUAGUCUCUGUGUUGAGAGUCGAUUGGGGGUUUGGUAGUGGACCAUAUGGUGUUGUGUCUGUCGAGUACGUGUCCGUAUUUAAUACUUAGCACUAUGUUGUUGGUGGUGGUUUGAAUUGUUGAAACAGGUUAUUGAUAUGGCUCAGUUCAUGGAGCAGCAAAUGGUAAUUAUUCCAUGGCAGAUUGUGCUGGCACUGGCAGUGUCUUAUAUGGGCUGUGUUCUGUGUGUUAGAAGUAAAUGGACUGAAUGGUUCAUGGCAUUAUGGAGAGUAUGUGCUAAUGCGUGUCAAGGAGCCAAGGCUUUGCUGGAUAUGGUGAUAGGUAUUUUCAAUAUUGAAUGACGUCGGGUGUAGGUAACAGUAGAUGUGUGGUUAAACUUAAUCACUUAUUAUUAAUGCUUAAGGUGUAGUUAGAGUAAUUAUAUGUUUUGUAAAAUGCGAUUUAUGUUGUAGUGAGAAGGUUGUAUUGUUAUGUGGUGUGUCAACCUUGCUAUAGUGUAGGUUACUGGUGAGGAGACUCUUGAAAGUUGGGUUUACAGACUAGUGAGGGCUAAUUUGAAUUUGAACUAUUAGCAUUAAAGUUGUAGGUUUUUUUGGUGAAUUUGAGGAGAUCUUAAAAAAAAAGGGGGUGUGAAUCUUUGGAAGCUAUAUUGCUUCAUUGAUGUGUGGUUGGGUACGUGUCUAGUAUGUGCACACGAAGGAGGUGACACACAUAUAGAGAUAUAUGUAGUACUAGAUACAAGGUUUGAGAUGGUGGUUAUCUACCCGUUGUGUGUGAAGUAUUAACUGUUAUGAAAGUUUAAAACUUUUGAAAUGAGUUGAGCGAGUGUGGAGAACGUUAAACUUUCUAAAAAAAAAGAAGGAAUUGUGGGUAUGUACACAUCUAAUGUAGUAAUGUUUUUGGGCGUAGUGCCUAAGGAAAUGAUGUGGGGUUGUAUAUACUUUCAUUUAGUUAAAAGGAUCAAAUAAGGUGGAAGUUGAGAAUCUUACAGAUGGCGAUUUUGUGUUGCCUUGAUUUGGGUGUAUUUGAUAACGUUAUAAUCUUAUUUAUGGGAAUUUGAAUAAAUAGUGAUGUGUAUCGAUGUACUAUUGCAUUUGGUUAUGUGUUCUUAAGUGACAUGUCAAGUAUUGAGUAUGUGGAUACAUGUGAUGUGAGUACGUGGGUAUAUGUGUUAUAAGUUGAUAAAUGUAGAUAGAAAACAUAAUGGUUUAUUGUUACGUGAAGAUGGUUAUAUUGGUUCUAUGUGAACUAGUAUAUGGUUUUGGUUGUCUAUCAGGUGAUAGGUGUAAGUGAGUAUUAUUCGAUAUCUUAUUACCUAUACGAAUGAGUGUUAAAAGGGUUGGUGAGAUAGUCGUCGGAUGUAGUGUUAAUGGGUGAAACGGUUGCCUAAUGGUCAGAGUAGUGAGUUUGGAAGGAAUAGAGAGUCAUGUUCUGGGCGAUGGGAAUUAGUUGGAAAAUAGGAGCAGAUACAAAUGGUAAUUGUGAAUGGUUGGUAUUACAAAGAGGGAGCUGUUUUUAGGCUGUAAUUUGUUUAGUGGGGUUUGAAUGGUGCAAGUUAGAGAGAUACAAGUUUGACUGUGAUUGAAUAGUGUUGAGAAAGUGGGCAAUGUCUAUAAACCAUUGCAAGGAUCAGAUGAGAAAUGGGUUAACUUUGCGGAAGUGAAAUUGAAACAGAUUGCAGGUGAUCUUGAAAACCAUUCUAAGAGAAUGGGACAGGUAUAAGUUUUAUUUAUUGUUUGAUUUGAUAACAUGAUCAUGCAUUGUGGCUUCGUGUCAGAGUCAGUCCAGUCGACUGGAGUGUCAGUGGUGUUGUGAUGAAAUAGGCAACGUGCCUAUCAAAUCAUGCUACAUCUUAUAUAUUGUCAUAUUCGCAUGCCAUCAAUGAUAUAUAUGUUGUGGACUAACCUUGUUUUGAAGGGACACGUUACAACAAAACUGAGUUCGGGUUUCUGAAACAGAAUUCGGAGAUGGUAUAGAGUUGACGGUGGGAUAUGGAAUAGUGUUGGGAUUUUUGAUUCUGAUGGAGUAAUGGAUUCAUCUACGUCCAUCUAGAGGAUGGUAAGACAAGUGAUAUGGUACAAUUAGGCGUUUGAAAUGUUAGGGUGGAUGAUGUUGAGGUCUAUGAGGGAGUGCAUGGAGAAAGUGGGUUAAAUGAAGCACAAAUGGUUGCUGAGAUUAGAGGAGAAAUCUUAAGUGAUAAUUAAGCUACUGUGGCAAUAGGUUUUGUGAUGGGUUGAUGGUUAGUAAGUUAAGUGAGUUGUCGAUUCGUAUUAAUAUGUGUUGGGUUAGAUUGUAUACCAGUAGUAUAUACAAAUUUUUUUGAGGUUUUGUUUGUGUGGAAUAGAUGUGAUUGUUUUGGUGUACCUAAGUGAUAAAAUGGUUAGUGGAGUAUGAUUAUAUAAUACACAUAUAAUGUUGUUUUGAGAUUGAUGUUUGUUGGUAAAUCAAGCAGCGAUAAUGUGCUGGUUGAUAAUACGAGGUUAAAAUUACUUUUCUAAAAGGUAAUACUCAUGUAUUGAGAAUGUGUGUUGAUGUGGUGGUCAUGGUGGUUUAGAAAUUUAGUACCGUGAUGAGAGUUGAGGGCCACAGGUUCUUUUUUAGAGGACGAAUUGGUAUUAUGUUAGUACCUGCGAGACUCAUAUAAUUAUUUUUGUUGAAAGUCGAUGUGAAACAAGGAAGUUUUGAAAAUAUGAAUCAUAAGGGUGUUAUUUUUCUAUAUGUUUUGUGUGAUAAAGACAUGGUUAACAAAUGAGAGAUUUGGUUGGAGAUGAAGGUGAAUGAGAGUGGAUUAUAACAGUGUAUUUGAAAAAGUGGCUGGUUUGAGGUUUUGUCCGUAUGCAUUAUCUUUUGAAAGGUGCUGCACAUAUCAAGGUGUUAUGAAGUUGUGUAGUUAGCGAUUUAUGAUGAUUGUGUUGCUAGAAUUGGUCAUGGGACAAGACUGUUUGGGUAACCUUAUAGUUUGGUUGUCACUAGUGUGAGGUUGGUGGUUCUAAUUUCGGGGACGAAAUUUCCUAAGAGGGGGAGGGUGUAACGUCCUUUUUAAUUGAGGUGCUUAAAUGUUAUAUUUAAUAACCUAAAGGACUAAAGUGCGAUUUUUUUUUAUUAGAGUGGUGCAUGUGUGCCGUGUGUUUGUGUGAGGUGGUGUGUGUGUGUUUCUUUUUAAAACAAAAGAAAAGAAAGAAAACCCAUCAGGAGAGGUUCCAAAGAGAGAGAGAGAGAGAGAGAGAGAGAGAGAUCAGCCGGUGGAAGAAGGAGAAGAGAAAGGGGAAGUGAGAGCUAGGUUGAAUUGGAAACUUUGUAAGGUAACAAGCCGGUCAAAUAGGAGGUGCCGAAAUCGUAAGUUUGGUGUAUAUCUCGGUCGAUGCAAAGGUAGCAGGUUGCGUAGAGUGGGUCCACUACCGGUCAACGUGUUGACAAGUGUUUGGGCUAGCGUCAGAUGAUGUGGAUAAGCGAGUUGGUUGUAGGUAGUGAACCAAAAAGUUGAUUUAUGUAAGUUAUAAAUAAGUCGUUGGUGGAUGUAUUAAAGUGUAAAAUUUUUAAAGUAUUGUAAAACUAUAUUGUUGUUUAGUUGUGCGAGAUCGUGGUUGGUUGGUCGA